GUGGGGAAUAUUGGACAAUGGGGGGAACCCUGAUCCAGCCAUGCCGCGUGUGUGAAGAAGGCCUUUUGGUUGUAAAGCACUUUAAGCGAGGAGGAGGCUACCGAGAUUAAUACUCUUGGAUAGUGGACGUCACUCGCAGAAUAAGCACCGGCUAACUCUGUGCCAGCAGCCGCGGUAAUACAGAGGGUGCAAGCGUUAAUCGGAUUUACUGGGCGUAAAGCGCGCGUAGGUGGCCAAUUAAGUCAAAUGUGAAAUCCCCGAGCUUAACUUGGGAAUUGCAUUCGAUACUGGUUGGCUAGAGUAUGGGAGAGGAUGGUAGAAUUCCAGGUGUAGCGGUGAAAUGCGUAGAGAUCUGGAGGAAUACCGAUGGCGAAGGCAGCCAUCUGGCCUAAUACUGACACUGAGGUGCGAAAGCAUGGGGAGCAAACAGGAUUAGAAACCCUAGUAGUCC
rnacentral:rRNA from 1 species